rnacentral:RNase_P_RNA from 2 species
AGCACACCCCUACACUCACGAGCGGGAAGGUCCUGGAAUUCCAACCCCCCAUUUUGUUCGUUUGAACAAAUGUACAAGACCCAAAGGUCUCCCAUUUAACGAUGGGUAUCGCUCGACCAGAAAUGCGUCUACCCCUGACGCUCAUCCAGCACCCGUAGAAACGUCUUUUUUUCCCCUUCCUCAACUUGCACUCCCCUGCUCGUUGAGGAAGGAGAGUGAAAACGUGGAGGGCAUGUCGGGGGAUCAGGACUUGGCAUGAGCGUGGGGGUCGUCAAGUGUGUUUUUCGUAUUCAGCGGUCCGACUCGAGAUCCACACACGAUUGACUUUAGUGCAAUUUGGUGACGUCUUUUCUUCCUCCUUUCCAAGAGGGAACGGUGGUUUUUUUUUUUACGACCGAAAGAUAACUCGAUCAGGACUACUCUGGGACUGCU